GAUAAGUAAUGUGADUUGCAGAAUUCAGUGAAUCAUCGAAUCUUUGAACGCACCUUGCGCCCUUUGGUAUUCCGAAGGCACACCUGUUUGAGUGUCGUGA
rnacentral:rRNA from 1 species